CCGACGGUUGUGUGGAUCGCGGAGUGUGUCUGUGCUGAGGAGAUUGUUUUGCUUGCACCGCUUGCAUUCUGGGUCAUUUAACGUGCUGAGUAAUUGUUUUACCGUGUUCUUUGUGGGGGUUACGCGAUCGCAUCGCAAGAUGCACAGAAGCGUAAACGUUUUGACGUUACAAAUUAAUUUUACGCCAGUUUUCACGCUUCGUGUAGCCGCCCAGUUAUAGCAAAUUUAGCUGACAGCUGCGGUUUGUUUACAUAUUGCAUUUGCUGCAAAACAUUAUAUUGCUGCGCAGUAGGCGACGAGAUGGCGGGUCAGUAUAAUUCGUUCGUUUAGGUGUUUAGGGUUUGUUGGUCGCUUAUUGUUCAUGCUGGAGGAUGUUCAGUGUCAUUAUUUGCGCAGAAAUCAAGACCCUUCGCGUAAAUUGGAACAAAUCUGUGUGAUCUGUGUGAAUCAGAGUAAUCAUUCCACGGUUUGUGUGGGUUGUGUCGUUGUUCCGAACAACGACCUGAUAAACAUUGACAAAGUACUGAAUGACUUCGAAUUCAACGAGGACGAUGGGCGCUACACCUGCAAGGGAACGAUUGGUAAUAACAGAAACAAAGAACACUAAGCAAAAUCUUCCACUGACACCAGACCGGCAAUUAAACACGGAACGGAAUCUUUGAAUGGAGGAAUCUGUUAUCUGUUAUCGAUUUAUCAGUAAUGCUUCUAACGGACGAAACCGACCAAAGGGAUGUUUCCGCAAACGGAGAGUCUCAGCGAAAAUCUACCAGCAUGGAAACGCCCUUUCCCUCGGCCCGGAUCGACCCGUUUCUGUACGUGCAGCAAACUAUCAUGCGAACGAGUGUGGUCCCAUUGGAGAACGACCUACUGUUGACCGAUCCGGGGCCCCCUCUACAAGGUGUUUAAACUGGUCGAGAUCAUUCGUAAUUAUGAGGACAAAAGGUACCAGGAUUUCUUAGCUCGACCCAUCGCAGGAGCUGGUGCUGUCACCGGCCAACACUUCAACAAGGACUACAAUCUGCUAAACACCAUUUUCGUCAAUCAUAAUUUACAAAAGCUCAAAGUAUCCACGGCGGAAAUGUUGUUCGGUACACCGUUGCGCGAUACGGGUGCGAAGCGCUAUCGAUUCACGGCCGAUUCACGUAUCCUGCGAGAGAACACUCCUUACUUCAUCGAAUCGUUGAGUGCCAGCCAAAAUUGUCCCGUUCACGGUUGGUCCCAAAACCAAACUUUGAAUAACUGAUCUACCAGUAGAAAUGGAAUAUGUAUUUUAUAUAAUUGAAAGAUUCUAUUGAAAAGUGAAUUGAAAUGAAAUGAAAUUUGAAAUGACUCUAA